AUACGGAGGGUGCGAGCGUUGUCCGGAAUCACUGGGCGUAAAGGGCGCGUAGGCGGCGCAGUAAGUAGGGGGCGAAAUCUCACGGCUCAACCGUGAAACUGCCUCCUAAACUGCUGUGCUUGAGCACGGUAGAGGCAGAUGGAAUUCCCGGUGUAGCGGUGGAAUGCGUAGAUAUCGGGAAGAACACCAGUGGCGAAGGCGGUCUGCUGGGCCGUUGCUGACGCUGAGGCGCGACAGCGUGGGGAGCAAACAGGAUUAGAUACCCCGGUAGUCC
rnacentral:rRNA from 1 species